GUGAAUCAUCAAAUUUUUGAACGCAAAUUGCGCCUUUUUCUGUAGGCAUGUGUGUGUGAGGGCACCAUUUAACAAAUAAUGUGCAGCGUUUUUUGUUGCACACGUUGAUGAGCUUUCCAAGAAUUUUAAAUUUUUGGUUGCGAAUUAUGAACAGCGUGAAAGAUUUUUUUAGUUCGAUUGUAGUAAAAUCUUUGCAUUGGUUGUGUAAAAACGUA
rnacentral:misc_RNA from 1 species